CUAAAGAUAAACCUAAUCACUUCAAACGUAAGGUGAGAAAAUCACAGAAAAUAGGAAACCUAAUCCUCUCAUUUUAUCGUUCUUUUCAUAACAGAUCCACUUUGAUCCUCUCGACCGUGGUUGGGUUAUUAGAUUCGAGUCCUGAUGAUUUCGAGAUCGGGUUUCAUCUGAGAUUUCUGUUUCUAUCUAUAUGGCUUGAGAGGACAAACGAUUUUGAUGGGGAAACCGAAAAUAAACCUAUCCAACAGACAACUACAUCGGAUUGAGUUAAUGUUGCAUAGCGGAAGUCUUGCGACGAUCUUUCCACUCUUUGUCACCUUGCAUUGCUUCUGAUUGUCUAGGCCUGAGUAAUUUUCCAGGGAAAGCUUGUCUUUGAUGUUUCGGUUUGGUAUGAUUGAUCAAUCCUUGAACACUGCUAAUAUAAGUAACUCUGUUUGCUUUUGAAAUUAUCAAUUGUCUGCAAGGAAAAUCAAACAAUAUUUUUGACUGUCAUGUCUGCAUCGUUGUCGGGUUUUAGUAUAGUAAGACCUUCCGGAGAUGUUACACGUGAAAGCGCUACAUACAGUUGACCGUGGCUAAAAACUGGUUGAGGUGCAGCUCCAUCUCCUACACUUAGCAGCCAUUCCGCAAAGCUUUCUUGUGAUUCAUCAAGUCUCAUGUUCUGUUUGAGAUCGAAGACGUUGCAGAAGUCCCACAAGUGUGACUGUUUUAUUGAUGCUAAAACUGCAUCAGCUCUAGAACCUUGUGGAAUUAUCGGUAGCGUUUGCCUGAAGUCUCCACCUAAUAGUACAGUUUUGCCUCCAAAAGGUUGGUCUUUAACUUUUGGAUCUUUAAUGGACAUCAAAUCUCGCAGUGUUCUGUCAAGGGCUUCAAAUGCAUGCCGAUUUGUCAUAGGUAAAAACAAUGCUGCGAUGCCAGAGGAAGCAACUGGGAGCACAAUUUUUUUUUCUGAUCGCAACUUAGAAAUAAUGGUGUUGUAAAGGCUUACGUUGAUGAAUGUGGAAGGAAAAAGUCCUCCACGUGGCUUCACAAGCAGAUACAUAUCGGCAUUCAAGGUACUCUUGUAUCUCAUCUCUUGGUCUUUUCGUUGAUACACUAUCUUGUGUGUGUUUUGAAGCCUCGGGACCUUUUUCUAUCACAAUGGUAGCUUUGUCGACUCCUUUUGUAAUGUAUUUGAAAAGAUACUUGACAGCAUUUGUUCUGUUGCACCACUCCACGUUUAUAUGAGCUUGAUAUUUUUUUAAAAUAGCUAAAUUGUGUGGAACAACAUAGCGAUUAUCCAACUUUGUUUUUCCUUUGAUCACAAAGUUACCUUCAUCUUGCCGUCGCCGGUAAAUUAUAUAGCCAGAUUUGUCGAUUGAGGUUUGAUCAGUAUAUUGCCUUGGGUAUCUUUUUGAACAUUCUUUAUUUCUCAUGCAAGGAGAUUUUGGUCGAUCCAAUCCACAUGGACCGUGCAUCAUGUGUUUCUCCACAAGCUCAAACCCUUGUUGGUCAUUCUCUUUAUGCGGUAGUUCGGCAGAGAUUAUUGAGUCAACUUCAUUUGUUGUUGGAAUUCUUGAUGCACCAUCCAACCAAAUGAGCAUACUUUUCGAUCAUGUAUCUAGGGCUUCCAGUAAAACUUGAAGCUACCACAUAAGGUAUUUCAGUGUGGAAUCCAUAUUCGCCGUAAGGAAAUAGCAGUGGAUACUGUAAAGACAUAUACAAAGGAUGAUCAUCUCGUAUUUCUUGCAAAUGUUUUGACUGAUAUUGUAAUAUGACAUCUUUGUAACCAGUAGUAGUUGACAAAUCACCGACUAUCAAACCAGCAACCUCAUUGGUGUUAGGCAUAUCAUAUUGUCUACCUUUCCCUUGAUUUGCUACCGGUCUUAUAGUAAACUCUUUGGCACCA